AACGAACGCUGGCGGCAGGCCUAACACAUGCAAGUCGAACGCUGUAGCAAUACAGAGUGGCAGACGGGUGAGUAACGCGUGGGAACCUUCCCAGUGGUACGGAAUAGCUCAGGGAAACUUGAGGUAAUACCGUAUAAGCCCCUUGGGGGAAAGAUUUAUCGCCAUUGGAUGGGCCCGCGUCGGAUUAGCUAGUUGGUGAGGUAAUGGCUCACCAAGGCGACGAUCCGUAGCUGGUUUGAGAGAAUGACCAGCCACACUGGGACUGAGACACGGCCCAGACUCCUACGGGAGGCAGCAGUGGGGAAUAUUGGACAAUGGGCGCAAGCCUGAUCCAGCCAUGCCGCGUGAGUGACGAAGGCCUUAGGGUUGUAAAGCUCUUUUAGCAGGGACGAUAAUGACGGUACCUGCAGAAUAAGCUCCGGCUAACUUCGUGCCAGCCGCCGCGGUAA
rnacentral:rRNA from 1 species